CAGGCGAAGCUUUAACAUGCAAGUCGAGCGGCAGCGCGGGGCAACCUGGCGGCGAGCGGCGAACGGGUGAGUAAUACAUCGGAACGUACCCAGUUGUGGGGGAUAGCCCGGCGAAAGCCGGAUUAAUACCGCAUACGACCUGAGGGUGAAAGGGGGGGAUCGCAAGACCUCUCGCAGUUGGAGCGGCCGAUGGCGGAUUAGCUAGUUGGUGGGGUAAAGGCCUACCAAGGCGACGAUCCGUAGCGGGUCUGAGAGGACGACCCGCCACACUGGAACUGAGACACGGUCCAGACUCCUACGGGAGGCAGCAGUGGGGAAUUUUGGACAAUGGGGGAAACCCUGAUCCAGCCAUUCCGCGUGAGUGAAGAAGGCCUUCGGGUUGUAAAGCUCUUUCGGCAGGAACGAAACGGCGGAUCCUAAUACGGUCUGCUAAUGACGGUACCUGAAGAAGAAGCACCGGCUAACUACGUGCCAGCAGCCGCGGUAAUACGUAGGGUGCGAGCGUUAAUCGGAAUUACUGGGCGUAAAGCGUGCGCAGGCGGCUUUGUAAGACAGAUGUGAAAUCCCCGGGCUCAACCUGGGAACUGCGUUUGUGACUGCAAGGCUCGAGUGUGGCAGAGGGGGGUGGAAUUCCACGUGUAGCAGUGAAAUGCGUAGAGAUGUGGAGGAACACCGAUGGCGAAGGCAGCCCCCUGGGUCAACACUGACGCUCAUGCACGAAAGCGUGGGGAGCAAACAGGAUUAGAUACCCUGGUAGUCCACGCCCUAAACGAUGCGAACUAGGUGUUGGGGAAGGAGACUUUCUUAGUGCCGCAGCUAACGCGUGAAGUUCGCCGCCUGGGGAGUACGGUCGCAAGAUUAAAACUCAAAGGAAUUGACGG
rnacentral:rRNA from 1 species